rnacentral:rRNA from 1 species
UGGGGGAUAUUGCACAAUGGGCGAAAGCCUGAUGCAGCGACGCCGCGUGGGGGAUGAAGGCCUUCGGGUUGUAAACUUUUUUUGCUCUGAACAAGGCGCACCAUGGGGUGUGUUGAUUGUAGGGGUUGAUUAGCGCCGGCUAACUACGUGCCAGCAGCCGCGGUAAUACGUAGGGCGCGAGCGUUGUCCGGAAUUAUUGUGCGUAAAGGGCUUGUAGGUGGCUGGUUCCGUCUGUCGUGAAAGCUAAUGGCUUAACUGUGGGUUUGCGGUGGGGUGGGGAUGGCUUGAGUGCAGUAGGGGAGGGUGGAAUUCCUGGUGUAGCGGUGGAAUGCGCAGAUAUCAGGAGGAAUACCGGUGGCGAAGGCGGGUCUCUGGGCUGUUACUGACACUGAGGAGCGAAAGCAUGGGGAGCGAACAGG